rnacentral:rRNA from 1 species
GAUGAACGCUGGCGGCGUGCCUAAUACAUGCAAGUCGAGCGAAUGGAUUAAGAGCUUGCUAUUAUGAAGUUAGCGGCGGACGGGUGAGUAACACGUGGGUAACCUGCCCAUAAGACUGGGAUAACUCCGGGAAACCGGGGAUAAUACCGGAUAACAUUUUGAACCGCAUGGUUCGAAAUUGAAAGGCGGAUUCGGCUGUCACUUAUGGAUGGACACGCGUCGCAUUAGCUAGUUGGUGAGGUAACGGCUCACCAAGGCAACGAUGCGUAGCCGACCUGAGAGGGUGAUCGGCCACACUGGGACUGAGACACGGCCCAGACUCCUACGGGAGGCAGCAGUAGGGAAUCUUCCGCAAUGGACGAAAGUCUGACGGAGCAACGCCGCGUGAGUGAUGAAGGCUUUCGGGUCGUAAAACUCUGUUGUUAGGGAAGAACAAGUGCUAGUUGAAUAAGCUGGCACCUUGACGGUACCUAACCAGAAAGCCACGGCUAACUACGUGCCAGCAGCCGCCGUAA